AGCUUUGUGCAGUGGCAGUAUCGUAGCCAAUGAGGUUUAUCCGAGGUGCGGUUAUUGCUAGCUGAAAGA
rnacentral:snRNA from 1 species